UACACUCUGGAANUCAGGUGCUAAGAGCC
rnacentral:piRNA from 1 species